rnacentral:lncRNA from 1 species
GCUAUGAAUUUUCCUCUAAGCUCGGCAUUGGUUUCAUCGACCAGCCCUCCUGCUGCAACCUCUGUGUACAAGGCUUGGAGGUGACUGUCCUUCCUGCUGGAUUCUAUGAGACGAUUGCAUUCAGGUGAUCUUUCCUUCAUGCACACCAUCCAACCUUACUCGAAGAAGAUCAAGCAAAUGCACACCUACUUCCCAUCACAGACUCAGAGCUGUUGUUUGCUGUGGGGUACAGCAGAGUUCGGAAACCAUCCACUUCACAAAAUCUCCACUCCUCACCGAGAAGGCCUUCAAACCCAGAACUGUUGCAGCUAGAGCAGCACCACUCAUCUGAUUGCACAGAAACCACCAGAAGCACAUUUGGAUCUAAUUUUAGCACUAUGAUGAAUGGCCCAGGAAUGAAUUCCACUGCCCUCCACAAAAAGGAAGAUACAUCAGACCUGCCCAGGUGUGUGUCAUUUCCUUGUCUUGGGAGCUCUCAGCUUUCAAAUGGCAGCCUGGAUUUUUCUGGAUGGAAGCUCCAUUGUGUCUGUGUUUUGGCUUGGUAAGCACUACUGGGAAGUGGCCAAGGGUGCUUAGUAACCAGUGCUAGAUCAGCCCUCAAGGUCUGUGUCAUUCCUGUGUUCAUGUUACUGUAUGGUACAUGGCUAACUUGGUGUUUUCUUCAAUUCAUUUAUGAGCAGGGAGCAUUUAUAGAGGACCACACCCAAUUCUCCUACUACCUCAGUUUGAUUACUACCAUAAAGAACUUUCACUUUGUCUUUCAUAUGAACAGGGUCUUGUGUAAC